GGUAAGGUGGCCGAGUAGGUGCCGGAUUGUAGCUCCGGUUAUAAAGGUUGUAACCCUUUUCUUAUCA
rnacentral:tRNA from 1 species